rnacentral:misc_RNA from 1 species
AUCCAGGUCCCAUUUCGUUAUUGUCAUCAUUUCCAUGUUCUUUACCAUCACUUCCCUUCUCGACUUGAGCUGCUCUGCUUUCUCUUUCCAUCCCUCUUCCAACAACUGAACAAACCUAUCCUUGAUUUUAUGCAAUGGAUCCCUAUCAAUCAAUUCACUAUCCUUAUAAGCUUCCCUUAGCAUUGCAGUCUUAAUCCCCCCUUUCAAUGACAUGUAAAAUAUUCCGGAAUGCCUGGUGAACACACUUGAAAAUUGAUUGGAAAACCUAUACUCUUCGCUAAACUUCCCCAGUAUCGGCACUGGAAUCCUCUUAAAGAGUGAGAGUGAUAACAACUCAUGGAAAACCCCAACAGUCCUCUUUUCCAUUUCUGGUGAGGCUUGAUCCAAGUGUGACACGUCCGCAUAUGGUGAAAUGUAAUCAAGUUCUAACCAAUCCCUAACCCACUCCCUCAUUUCCUUCCUGAGAAAAAACCCUGGUGGAAGUU